AUGACGACCGCUGUAACUUCGAUAAAAAAAGGCCUAUUUGAUCUCGGCCAUCCUCUUGUUAAUCGCAUCGCCGAAUGCUCCGUCAAAGCCGCCGGAAUCGGAGCCGCUCAAGCCUUCCUCACAUCGCGAUUGCAACACCGGCCGAUCUCGCCGCACGACACCAUGAACAACCAGCCAACGCUCUACUCAACGUAUGAAAGCAACCAUCAAGCCACUUUCUCAGACCAUCUGAAUCACUUUCUCAGAUCCGCUGAACCACACCCUCGUCCGUGA